rnacentral:rRNA from 1 species
AGAGUUUGAUCCUGGCUCAGGACGAACGCUGGCGGCGUGCCUAAUACAUGCAAGUAGAACGCUGAAGGAGGAGCUUGCUUCUCUGGAUGAGUUGCGAACGGGUGAGUAACGCGUAGGUAACCUGCCUGGUAGCGGGGGAUAACUAUUGGAAACGAUAGCUAAUACCGCAUAAGAGUAGAUGUUGCAUGACAUUUGCUUAAAAGGUGCACUUGCAUCACUACCAGAUGGACCUGCGUUGUAUUAGCUAGUUGGUGGGGUAACGGCUCACCAAGGCGACGAUACAUAGCCGACCUGAGAGGGUGAUCGGCCACACUGGGACUGAGACACGGCCCAGACUCCUACGGGAGGCAGCAGUAGGGAAUCUUCGGCAAUGGACGGAAGUCUGACCGAGCAACGCCGCGUGAGUGAAGAAGGUUUUCGGAUCGUAAAGCUCUGUUGUAAGAGAAGAACGAGUGUGAGAGUGGAAAGUUCACACUGUGACGGUAUCUUACCAGAAAGGGACGGCUAACUACGUGCCAGCAGCCGCGGUAAUACGUAGGUCCCGAGCGUUGUCCGGAUUUAUUGGGCGUAAAGCGAGCGCAGGCGGUUAGAUAAGUCUGAAGUUAAAGGCUGUGGCUUAACCAUAGUAGGCUUUGGAAACUGUUUAACUUGAGUGCAAGAGGGGAGAGUGGAAUUCCAUGUGUAGCGGUGAAAUGCGUAGAUAUAUGGAGGAACACCGGUGGCGAAAGCGGCUCUCUGGCUUGUAACUGACGCUGAGGCUCGAAAGCGUGGGGAGCAAACAGGAUUAGAUACCCUGGUAGUCCACGCUGUAAACGAUGAGUGCUAGGUGUUAGACCCUUUCCGGGGUUUAGUGCCGUAGCUAACGCAUUAAGCACUCCGCCUGGGGAGUACGACCGCAAGGUUGAAACAGUCNACCAUCAUUUUUGAACAGUGAUAGCACUUGAAUCGACGCUUUCUAAGGAGAAUUCUAGUAGGCAUACCAGUCGUUUCAAGAUAAGGAAUUUUAGAAGGUUUUUGAAAGUCAUAUUUCUUCAAUUGGUUUCCGCACUCAGGGCAAGAUGGGGCGUCGUAGUCCAGUUUGGCGAUGAUUUCCUUGUGUGUAUCCUUAUUGAUGAUGUCUAAAAUCUGGAUAUUAGGGUCUUUAAUGUCUAGUAAUUUUGUGAUAAAAUGUAAUUGUUCCAUAUGAUUCUUUCUAAUGAGUUGUUUUGUCGCUUUUCAUUAUAGAUCUUAUGGGACUUUUUUUCUACACAAAAAUAGGCUCCAUAAUAUCCAUAGGGGAUUUACCCACUACAAAUAUUAUAGAGCCAUAAAAGCAUCAACAUCUUGUGUGGCACGUAAACCAUGAUAUUCUAAGACAUAACCAUCGACACAGAUAAUUGUUAAAGUCAGAUUUUCCUGAAUUAAUUCCUUAUUUAGGGCUUGGAAGACCGGUUUCAUUUUAUCCAUGUUUGUAUUUCUCCAUCAAUUUUUGAACAUUGGUUAACUUAGCAGGUUUAUUUAAUGAAAUCACAUAUUUAUGAGUUGGAGUAUGCUCUUGAAAGGCAUACUUCAAGCUAAUUUUUUGAAAACGGGUUAGUUCUUUGGAGUCUAGCAACUUUUCUACAUCUUGGUUUGUUAAAUAAGAAUAGUCUUCAAAAAUAACUUUUCGCAAAUAGCGAAACCAAUGGCUUGCGUUGAAUUGUGAUUGUUUGGAUGCCUGUAUCAUAUAAUCGUACCAAUCCAUUGUCUUCCUCCUAUAAAAUUUAGUUUAUAUUAUUGUAGUUUAUAUUCAAAAAUGUAAUUUUUCUUAAUUAGCUCGUAUCUAUAGGAUGAUACUGAAAAUCUUCUUGUUGCUUUAAAUCACAAUCGAAAAAUUCUGUUUUUCAUCUUAGAAAAGAAUGUUUAGAAAUGUAAAAUGAAUCUUUUUUCUUAUACGAAAACCUUACUAAAGUAUAUAAUUUAGGAAGUCAAUUCUGUAUGAUAAUGUUUGUACUAUCGUCGAGUUUUUGCUUGAUUGCCUAACGAGAUAAAUUUUAGAAGAAUUUUCGGUGUGAUUUGACAAGCUUCUGACUGGAAGGAUAGUUACACUAGUAUUGUUUAUUAAAAUGAGCAGAUAGAGAAAAUUUGGAAUCUAUUUGCUUAUUAUCAAUCGUUUUUUUAGCUUAUUUGUCUUAGAUUGGUAUAGAACUGAUCUAUGGAUUAAUCCUCUUGUAUCUUAUCCUGUUCCUAAAUAUGUUGGUAGAAAAAUGAAGCAGUUGUUACGAGUGUCUGUAUUGGGAAAAAUUUUGUCUAUAGAAUUCUUUAAAUGAUAUGAAGGCUAGGAAUGCCAAAACACUGACAUAUUUCGUUUAAAGUCUAUCCAGUCUCUUCAAUUGUAUUUGUAGAAAUGCUAUCAGUAAUAUAUUCGCGAACACUAUGAUUUACAACAGUGUGGUCGUACAUCUUUGUAACUUUAUUAUACAACAACCAUUUACAGGUGUAAAGUUGAGCAGUGUCUUUAGUAAAUUUAGGGAUUUGUUUUGUCAUAGUUUUGAUACCUGUAUUCGUUGUUUCAUGAGCAUUUGACGUUUCUUUUCAUGUAGGCAUUUCAACAAUUAGAAUGAUAUUUUUCCGAGGAUGAGCUUAUAUAUUGUGACUUUUUAGAGUUAUGAUGCCUCUUGAUUUGACUAUCGCUAUCAAUUUCAUCCACUUUUACAGUUUCAUGGUUUUAUGAACCGAAACAUCUAGGUACAGGUUUUAGCAUCAAUUGAUUGUUUUUGAGCCAUAUGAAGUUGAAACGUGGAGAUGCUUUUCUUGUGAUAACGCCCUAUUCAAAGAGGAAUAACCGUUUUUGGAGAGAGUUCAGUACUAUGUGGCGCUAAAUACUAUAUGUAAAACAUAUAUUAAACAAGAUUUAACUAAGGAGAAUUGUAAAAACAAAAAUGAGAAUUUCAUAUAAAGUUUAUUCUAGGAGUAUGUAUCUUGAAUAAAAAUCGUUAUUUAAGUUCAGGGUUAUGAUGAAUGUUUUUAUAAUAAUAAAAUGCAGCUAGAAGAAAAGUUAUUUUAAUAUAAAUCACUCAACAUAGAGAGAAGGCGGUUUCCUAUAUGGAAGUCGUCUUGUUUUCAUAUUGUCUAAAUACGAGAUAUCUACUACAGGUUGUAGAUAUUGCAAGCUCAAAUGAUAUUAUUUUAGAGGAGGAUACAAGUGAAAUAAUGCCUGGUGAGAUAGAUGUAAUAAAAAGUAAGGAGUUGAAAGUACUGGUUCUUUGUGCAGGGUCUGGAACAAGUGCGUAAUUAGCCAAUGCAAUUAACGAGGGCGCUCAAUUAGCA